UCUUCCUCUCCUCCCACUCCCUCACUUCUCUCCACUUUCCCCCCCUCCCCCGCGCAGAACCACCUCCAUCCUCCCUCGUCGCCCGCUUCCUCCUACCCAGCCGCGCGCCACCGCGCCUACCACCUUCCUCCUCCACCUACCUCCCACGGCCGGCGCGCCGCCCAACCACCCCGCCCCACCCGCCCACCCUGCCGGUGGCCUUCCUCCCAUCGCCGGCGAGCCACCCCUCCGACCGCUCCCCAGCAUGAACCGGCACCGGAUCCAGGCCUCGACGGGCCCCCGCGACGUCCCGGCGCCGGAUCCAGGCCAGGGCGGGCCCCCGCGACGCCCCGCUGCCGGAGCCAGGCCACGACGCCCCCCCGCGUCGCUGCCCAGCCUGCUUCCCUCGCGCCGCCGCCCAACCUCCUCCCCCCGAGCCGCCGCCCAACCUCCGCGACUCACCCUUCCCUCCCCGGCCUCCUUCUACUUCCGCCGUCGCGCCGGCCGGCCUAGCCCCGCCGUCAUCCUCGAGAAGUGCACUGCGUGCCCUGGAGCAGUGCACCGCGAGCCUCUCUAGCAGCUCAUCCAUGGGCGCCGGCAGUUUUUUUUUUUGGCCUGCAGUUCGGUGCCCCCCCGCGUGCAGUCCGGUGGUGCUACGCAUGUAGUGCUCAGGUGAGUCGCACUACAGCUCGGUUGGGUGGGCGCCACUGUCCUCCGACGGGCAUGUGUGCAGUGCACUCCGGCGGCGGGGGGUAGCCAUCUCCUCUCACGCUUCCAGCAGCAUCGGGAGGAGGAUGGUGGAGAAAUAUUCUCCCAGCUUGCUAUCGUUGCAGGUUAGUUGGGCGUCAAUGCAGUACGCAAGCACUUGAGAGGAUGAUUGGCACGCACUUCAGUUUCAGCCGUGCGACGCUGCAGUAUGGAUGCACGUGGCAGGAGGUUUGUUGCUGCAGUUUGCUUGGUGUUGGCAGGAGGUUCUCCAGCUGGCCCAUGUAGUUUACCUGGUGCAGUUCGGCCAGUUGAUGGUUGCGGUUAAAAGGAAAAUUGUGUGGAGUACACUUUCUUUGGGAUGAAAAGAUAAGUGCAAAUGUGGUUCACUAAUUAUUUUAUCAGGGUUCAGUUAACUAUAUUUUGUGUGAUGAGAGCCGCUCCAACAUUUGAUUUAGUAAACUGAACCCUGAGAAAAGUUAUAUGGACUCGUUUGAAAAUUGUUUACCAAAGAAGUUCAUUUAGAAUUGUAUUGCGGCUCA